UACGGGGGGGCAAGCGUUGUUCGGAAUUACUGGGCGUAAAGGGUUCGUAGGUGGCCACUUAAGUCAGACGUGAAAUCCCUCAGCUUAACUGGGGAACUGCGUCUGAUACUGGGUGGCUUGAGUGCAGGAGAGGAAUGCGGAAUUCCAGGUGUAGCGGUGAAAUGCGUAGAUAUCUGGAGGAACACCGGUGGCGAAGGCGGCAUUCUGGACUGUAACUGACACUGAUGAACGAAAGCCAGGGGAGCAAACGGGAUUAGAAACCCUGGGU
rnacentral:rRNA from 1 species